rnacentral:tRNA from 1 species
UGGGUUGUGGCUCAGCGGUAGAGUGCUCGCUGCAGUAGAGGGCUUGCCUCGCACGUGCAAGACCCUGGGUUCGAUCCUCAGCACCACAU